AUGAAGAUGACGACUUGCAUUCGUAAGGUGGCCUCAAAGGAGUUUGGAGUGUCCAGGGGAAGGAGAAGCGAAGAUAAGGAUACCUGGUGGUGGAAUGAUGAUGUCCAGAAGGCGAUUAAAGAGAAGAAAGAUUGCUUUAGACGCCUAUACCUGGAUAUGAGUGCACACAACAUAGAGAAGUACAAGAUGGCAAAGAAGGCCGCAAAGCGAGCUGUUGGUGAAGCAAGGGGUCGGGCGUAUGAGGACCUCUACCAACGGUUAGGCACGAAGGAAGGCGAAAGGGACAUCUAUAAGAUGGCCAAGAUCCGAGAGAGGAAGACGAGGAAUAUUGGCCAAGUCAAAUGCAUCAAGGACGGAGCAGGCCAACUCUUGGUGAAGGACGAGGAGAUUAAGCAUAGAUGGCGGGAGUACUUCGACAAGCUGUUCAAUGGGGAGAAUGAAAGCUCUACCAUUGAACUGGACGACUCUUUUGAUGAGACCAGCAUGCGUUUUGUGCGUCGAAUUCAGGAGUCUAAGGUCAAGGAGGCUUUAAAAAGGAUGAAGGGAGGCAAGGCGAUGGGCCCGGAUUGUAUCCCCAUUGAGGUGUGGAAAGGUCUCGGGGACAUAGCGAUAGUAUGGCUAACCAGGCUUUUCAAUCUCAUUUUUCGGGCAAACAAGAUGCCAGAAGAAUGGAGACGGAGUAUAUUAGUACCAAUCUUCAAGAACAAGGGGGAUGUUCAGAGUUGUACUAAUUACCGUGGAAUUAAGCUGAUGAGCCAUACAAUGAAGCUAUGGCAGAGAGUCAUUGAGCACCGCUUAAGAAGAAUGACAAGCGUGACCAAAAACCAGUUUGGUUUCAUGCCUGGGAGGUCGACCAUGGAAGUCAUUUUCUUGGUACGACAGCUUAUGGAGAGAUAUAGGGAGCAAAAAAAGGACUUGCAUAUGGUGUUCAUUGACUUGGAGAAGGCCUAUGAUAAGAUACCGCGGAAUGUCAUGUGGUGGGCCUUAGAGAAACACAAAGUCCCAGCAAAGUACAUUACCCUCAUCAAGGACAUGUACGAUAAUGUUGUGACAAGUGUUCGAACAAGUGAUGUCGACACUGAUGACUUCCCGAUUAAGAUAUGA
rnacentral:rRNA from 1 species